GCCUGCGUAGUUCAAUGGAUAGAACAACCCCGUCCUAAGGGGAAAAUGUCGGUUCGAUUCCGGCCGCGGGCA
rnacentral:tRNA from 2 species